AAACUGAAGAGUUUGAUCCUGGCUCAGAUUGAACGCUGGCGGCAUGCCUUACACAUGCAAGUCGAACGG
rnacentral:rRNA from 2 species